UAACAGGAUUCCCUUAGUAACUGCGAGUGAAGCGGGAAGAGCUCAAAUUUGUAAUCUGGCGAUCUCUGGUCGUCCGAGUUGUAAUCUGUAGAGGCGUCGUCCGCGUCGGCCCGUGUACAAGUCUCCUGGAAUGGAGCGUCAUAGAGGGUGAGAAUCCCGUCCAUGACACGGACCACCGAUGCUUUGUGAGGUGCCCUCGAAGAGUCGCGUUGUUUGGGAAUGCAGCGCAAAAUGGGUGGUAAAUUCCAUCUAAGGCUAAAUAUUGGCGAGAGACCGAUAGCGAACAAGUACCGUGAGGGAAAGAUGAAAAGCACUUUGGAAAGAGAGUUAAACAGUACGUGAAAUUGUUGAAAGGGAAACGCUUGAAGUCAGUCGCGUCCUGGGGCAUUCAGCCUCGCUUCGGCUUGGUGUACUUGCCUUGGGAUGGGUCAACAUCAAUUUUGGCUGGUGGAUAAGGGUGAGGGGAAUGUAGCGUUGUUUCGGCGACGUGUUAUAGCCCCUCAUUGAAUACAUCGGCUGGGAUUGAGGACCGCAGCACGCCCUUGUGGCCGGGGGUUCGCCCUACUCACGUGCUUAGGAUGUUGGCAUAAUGGCUUUAAGCGACCCGUCUUGAAACACGGACCAAGGAGUCUAACAUGCUUGCGAGUGUUCGGGUGGAAAACCCUUGCGCGUAAUGAAAGUGAAAGUUGGGAGCCUUCGCGAGGAGGUGCACCGACGCCCGGCCCUGAUGUGCUCUGACGGUGCUGCGGUAGAGCAAGUAUGUUGGGACCCGAAAGAUGGUGAACUAUGCCUGAAUAGGUGAAGCCAGAGGAAACUCUGGUGGAGCUCGUAGCGAUUCUGACGUGCAAUCGAUCGUCAAUUUGGG
rnacentral:rRNA from 1 species